GAAGUUGGUCAGACAGUUGCUUUUUAAAUCUUUAUAAACUUUACAAAGAGGAAAGUCCGGACUCUAUAGGGUAAAAGUACCAGGUAACACCUGGGAGGUGCAAACUUACGAAUAGUGCCACAGAAAAAAAAACCACUGAAAGUUAUCUAUAUAAAAAUAUUAGUUUAUCUUACAGUAAGGGUGAAAAGGUGUGGUAAGAGCACACCGCAUAUUUGGUAACAACUAUGGCAAGGUAAACUCUACUUAGAGCAAGGCCAAAUAAAGGUUAUUAAUAUAAUAAAUCAUACAUACUUACCCUUAUGUCAAAAACCUGGGUGGGCUGCUUGAAUUAGUAAGAAAUUACUAAUCUAGAUAAAUAACUGUCUAAUACAGAAUCCGGCUUAUAGACCAACUUCAUAU
rnacentral:RNase_P_RNA from 1 species